rnacentral:lncRNA from 1 species
GUCGUAGCGCCCAAGACCUCCGCCGCCUCCGUCAUCUGAAGCCCACUGCUGUCGCCGGCGACGAAGGUACGCCACUGUAGUUAGGGUUCUCGAAUUCAAUUGAGUUUUAGUUCGUCUAAGUUGUAUUAUUUGCCCCACCUUCUCACCCUCUUCGCCGCUCUACCUAAAUUAUUUCAAUUGAAUUCAAUUGAAUUCUGAUAUGUGUUAAUUGAGUUUCUAAAGUCUUCGUCUAUGGCAGCCUCCUUGCUAACGACGUCGUUCCUGCUCCAUUUUUCUUCUUCCCCAACCAGUUAGUGUCUCUCUCGCUCUCACACCGGUGAAUCUGAAAAAAGAGGCACCACACCGUCGCAACGAAUCUGAAAAAAGGGGCAGAGCUGCAAAGGUAAUUUUUUUUUUCUGGUUUGAUAGCUGGGAACAGAUGUGGUACUGUGAGCAUUUUUAAAUAGGUGGCACAUCCUUGUCAUUUUGUGGUAUUUUAAUGCAAACUCUUGUUCUGUUAUCUUUAGUUUCUAAUAAAUAGUCUUGUUAUGUAAUAGAAAAAAUAUUACAAUUAUACCUUCCUAGAAGCUCACCAUGUGCUGCCAUGAUCUGAUUUAAUUUGAAAAGUUGUACUGUUUAUGUAUCCAAUAAUAAUAUUCAUCUAAAAAUCAAAGCUGAGAUAUUUUUCUGAUAAGAAUCCUUUAUUCCUUCAAACGUCUGAAUUUGUUGUUUCCUUCAUGUUUUUAAUACUUUAAUUGAAAGAACCAUGUCUAUAUGAAUCUUAUCUGAAAUACCCAUCACUAAUAAGUAAAUAAUUUUGUGGACAUUUAUUUUUCGAUUGGAUAUUGGUAACCAUGCAUUCAAUCAAGAAAAGCUAAUCUUUGCUGUCAAAAUGAGUUAGUCAACUUAUUAAACAGAUUAUGUGUGCUAUAUAAUACCUCUAAAUAGAUUAGCUUGCUGUAAAGAGCAUCUCUACGGGCAAUGAGUGUCUUUGACUAUCCACUUUCUCUAAUUAUGAGAUAUGAUCGAUAAAAUAAACCUUGAAAAUGCACCAGAUUGGUUACAAUAUUUUUUUUUUGCACCAGUUCAGGUUGGAAGAAUUUUGGUGAUAGAGAAAUUGAGAAAAGAUAAGCUUGAAGGUGAGUUUUAUAUACUCUUACUUUUACUUUUGCACCAUGGCUCAACUGGCAGCCAUGGUUAUGAAAAUACCAUAUUUAGAUAAGCAUGUAUCUAGGUGCUUUUAGUUUUGCACCAUGGCUCAUCUGGCAGCCAUGGUUUUGUAACUAGAUAAGCAUGUAUCUAGGUAGUUGAUAUGGAGAGUAGGUUGGGGAAUGGCUCGUUCCAUUCCAUUUGUUGUUGUGGCGAUGGCUUGGAGCCGACUAUAUGUGCUAUGUGUGUUUGUGUUGUGUAUUUCCUUGCUUACAUUUCAAAAUAUUUUGAUUAUGUUAUCAUGAAUGUGUUCGGCAAAGUGCACCCUGGUGUGUGACUGUGGAAUAGCACCCACCUUAGAAUAUCAUAAAUAAAAAAUAAAAGUACAUCGCGAGCUUUAAAACAUGGUUUUAGUAACUGAGAAAAUGUAAUAGAAACAAUAUUACAAUUAUACCUUCCUAGAAUAUUUGUCAGCUAGUUAUGUAAUAGAAAAAAUAUUACAUAUUACAAGUUAUUAUUAUGAGUGCCACAUGGAGAUUGGUAGGAGCUUCUCUCUUUCUUUUACAAGUCAUAAAAAAAUAAUCAUUAACUAAGAAAGUUAUUCAAAAUUUUAGGUGAUAAUAUAAGCAAAAAUUGUAAAGGAUAGAUAUACAUUUAAUUGUAAAGGAUAGAUAUACAUUUAACUUUAACUAGAUGCGUCACAUUUACAAGAUCUUUGCCUUCUUCUUGGCAGUAACUUUUUGCCCUCAUUGCCAAGGCGUGAACUUUUCUGUACGUAUGUUGUUAAAAAUUAUCAUCUGUAUAAUAAUAAUAAUAAUAAUAAUAAUAAUAAUAAUAAUAAUAAUAAUAAUAAUAAUAAUAAUAAUAAUAAUAAUAAUAAUAAUAAUAAUAAUAAUAAUAAUAAAGCGAACUAAUUCAAUAUUUGGACAGGAUCAAUGUAUCCAAUUAUUAAUUUUGUUACAGUAUUUUAUAAUUAUUUAUUACAUCAUUAUCUAGAUAAAUUAUUUGAUAUUCACUAUUGUAUAGGUCUUAUUAUGGUUACUAAUUAAUUAUUUGAUAUUAUUUUAACUAUUUAGGUACAUUUUGUGGUUAAUUAAGGAAUUGGUAAAAUGGAUAAAUUAUGGAUGUCAAAGAAUAGAUUAUCACAAGAGUAUGAGGACGGAGUCGAAGCCUUCUUGAAUUUUGCAAUCCAAAGUGGUUGUGAUGCUAACUUAAUCACGUGUCCUUGUGCAAAGUGU